AUGAACGCUAGCUACAGGCUUAACACAUGCAAGUCGAGGGGCAGCAUGGUCUUAGCUUGCUAAGGCCGAUGGCGACCGGCGCACGGGUGAGUAACACGUAUCCAACCUGCCGUCUACUCUUGGACAGCCUUCUGAAAGGAAGAUUAAUACAAGAUGGCAUCAUGAGUCCGCAUGUUCACAUGAUUAAAGGUAUUCCGGUAGACGAUGGGGAUGCGUUCCAUUAGAUAGUAGGCGGGGUAACGGCCCACCUAGUCUUCGAUGGAUAGGGGUUCUGAGAGGAAGGUCCCCCACAUUGGAACUGAGACACGGUCCAAACUCCUACGGGAGGCAGCAGUGAGGAAUAUUGGUCAAUGGGCGAGAGCCUGAACCAGCCAAGUAGCGUGAAGGAUGACUGCCCUAUGGGUUGUAAACUUCUUUUAUAAAGGAAUAAAGUCGGGUAUGCAUACCCGUUUGCAUGUACUUUAUGAAUAAGGAUCGGCUAACUCCGUGCCAGCAGCCGCGGUAAUACGGAGGAUCCGAGCGUUAUCCGGAUUUAUUGGGUUUAAAGGGAGCGUAGAUGGAUGUUUAAGUCAGUUGUGAAAGUUUGCGGCUCAACCGUAAAAUUGCAGUUGAUACUGGAUAUCUUGAGUGCAGUUGAGGCAGGCGGAAUUCGUGGUGUAGCGGUGAAAUGCUUAGAUAUCACGAAGAACUCCGAUUGCGAAGGCAGCCUGCUAAGCUGCAACUGACAUUGAGGCUCGAAAGUGUGGGUAUCAAACAGGAUUAGAUACCCUGGUAGUCCACACGGUAAACGAUGAAUACUCGCUGUUUGCGAUAUACUGCAAGCGGCCAAGCGAAAGCGUUAAGUAUUCCACCUGGGGAGUACGCCGGCAACGGUGAAACUCAAAGGAAUUGACGGGGGCCCGCACAAGCGGAGGAACAUGUGGUUUAAUUCGAUGAUACGCGAGGAACCUUACCCGGGCUUAAAUUGCAGAUGAAUUACGGUGAAAGCCGUAAGCCGCAAGGCAUCUGUGAAGGUGCUGCAUGGUUGUCGUCAGCUCGUGCCGUGAGGUGUCGGCUUAAGUGCCAUAACGAGCGCAACCCUUGUUGUCAGUUACUAACAGGUUCCGCUGAGGACUCUGACAAGACUGCCAUCGUAAGAUGUGAGGAAGGUGGGGAUGACGUCAAAUCAGCACGGCCCUUACGUCCGGGGCUACACACGUGUUACAAUGGGGGGUACAGAGGGCCGCUACCACGCGAGUGGAUGCCAAUCCCUAAAACCCCUCUCAGUUCGGACUGGAGUCUGCAACCCGACUCCACGAAGCUGGAUUCGCUAGUAAUCGCGCAUCAGCCACGGCGCGGUGAAUACGUUCCCGGGCCUUGUACACACCGCCCGUCAAGCCAUGGGAGCCGGGGGUACCUGAAGUGCGUAACCGCGAGGAGCGCCCUAGGGUAAAACUGGUGACUGGGGCU
rnacentral:rRNA from 1 species